rfam:Picea glauca, whole genome shotgun sequence.
GCAUGCUUACAAUAUAGCAUUAAUGCAUUGGAUCCCAUUAGAACUCCGCAAUUAAGCAUGCUCAAGCUAGAGUAGUAUUGGGAUGGGUGACAGGCCGAGAAGUCCAAGUGUUUUACAUGCC